rnacentral:rRNA from 1 species
UUGGAGGGCAAGUCUGGUGCCAGCAGCCGCGGUAAUUCCAGCUCCAAUAGCGUAUAUUAAAGUUGUUGCAGUUAAAAAGCUCGUAGUUGAAUUUCGGGAUUGACGUGAUGGUCAUGCCUUAAGGGGUAUGAACUGUUGCUGUUGAUUUCUCACCUUCUGGAGAAACUUGAUGUCCUUAAUUGGGUGUCUUGCGGAUCCAGGACCUUUACCUUGAAAAAAUUAGAGUGUUUAAAGCAGGCAUUUUUGCUCGAAUACAUUAGCAUGGAAUAAUAGAAUAGGACGGCAUGGUUCUAUUUUGUUGGUUUCUAGGAUCACCGUAAUGAUUAAUAGGGAUAGUUGGG